rnacentral:rRNA from 1 species
UACAGAGGUCUCAAGCGUUGUUCGGAUUCAUUGGGCGUAAAGGGUGUGUAGGUGGCGCGCUAAGUCGGGUGUGAAAUUUCGGAGCUUAACUCCGAAACUGCAUUCGAUACUGGCGUGCUUGAGGACUGGAGAGGAGACUGGAAUUUACGGUGUAGCGGUGAAAUGCGUAGAUAUCGUAAGGAAGACCAGUGGCGAAGGCGGGUCUCUGGACAGUUCCUGACGCUGAGGCACGAAGGCCAGGGGAGCAAAACGGG